UACGGAGGGUGCAAGCGUUGUCCGGAUUUAUUGGGUUUAAAGGGUGCGUAGGCGGCCCGUUAAGUCAGCGGUGAAAUCCCAGGGCUCAACCCUGGAACUGCCGUUGAUACUGGCGGGCUUGAGUUUGGUCGAGGCGGGCGGAACUGGUGGUGUAGCGGUGAAAUGCAUAGAUACCACCAAGAACCCCGAUUGCGUAGGCAGCUCGCUGGGCCAAAACUGACGCUGAGGCACGAAAGCGUGGGGAGCGAACAGG
rnacentral:rRNA from 1 species